rnacentral:rRNA from 1 species
GGGUCCGGACACACUGAGGAUUGACAGAUAUACGCUCAUUGCUGCGUGCUUCGGCGCGUGCUUUGAGCUGAAAGAUGCUAGUUCUUUCAUGAUUAUGUGAUAGGUGGUGCAUGGCCGUUCUUAGUUCGUGGAGUGAUCUGUCUGCUUAAUUGCGUAUCAAUAAUAGAGACCUAGUAUACGCGUGGAUUUCGCGUGGUAGUGACCCCCUGUUUAACGACAGGCGUGUGUCGCACACGCGUACCUACGCACUGGUCUCAGAUAGCAACGAACGUGACCGUAUUCUAUUGUUGCAGUGAAAUGUGCCUUCUGGGUACGACCCACUGCUUAGUAUAUGUACGUGCUUCGGCGCGAACAAUAUACAUUAAACUAUAGAGACCGCUGUUUCUUCUUUAAACCAGAGGAAGGGUACGGCAAUAACAGGUCUGUGAUGCCCUCAGAUGUUCCGGGCUGCACACGUGCUACAAUGAUCAUUGCACUGUGCAUCUAACCCAAUGUGCGUGGACGCCGCAUGCAUGUGCCUUCGGGUACACGCAUUGCUGUUGCGACCACGCCGAACCUACUUCGAAAGUAAAAUUUCUCAGUGGGU